UCUCUGCCUCUGUUUUUAAAUUCUUCUUUGGGGGAUUGCAUAAAGCAAGAGGGGGCACAGCAGUGUUGCCAGGGUAGGUUGGUGAACUGACUUUGCCAGUGGACCUGGAAGGUAAACAGAGGCAGCAGCCACAUGAACAGGCAAGGCUGUGCCCCGAUAAAACUUCAUUUACAAGCACAGAAACUCAAAAGGAGAAGAGGAACCCAUGACUCUCGUGGAUCUGCUUUGGCAGAAAAUUGGAACCGCAAGCCCUGAAGAGCCCACAGUCCAGGUCUCGAGACCAACAGAAAGGAAGCUCACAGGAAAGUAUCAGAGCCCACCCAGCCUGUCUCUCAUCCUGGGGAAGAUAACCUAGGAGACGCAUCUCUGGGCUUGCCCGUGAGGCGCUAUCUUGAGGAUGUUACCUGAGGUGGGGAGACACACCCAGGAUGUACCUGACGUGGGUACCAUCGUCCCACGGGCUUCGAAGUCCUCACGAAAAGGAGAAAGCAGCUGAGCACUGCUGCUCUGCUUCCUGACUGUGGGAGUCAUGUGACACACACUCCUGUCACCGUAAGGGACGGGACUGUGCUAUCCUCGGCCUGUGAGGCCAAAUGACCCUUCCUCCCUUGAGUAGCCCCUGCCAUGGCUUUUGUUAUGAGCAACUGAUACACACCAGGAAGCGGCUUUUACAGAGAAGGAGU
rnacentral:sRNA from 1 species